UACGUAGGGACCGAGCGUUGUCCGGAAUCAUUGGGCGUAAAGAGCGUGUAGGCGGCCACUUAAGUCCUGCGUGAAAUCUUGCGGCUCAACCGCAAGCGGUCGUGGGAAACUGGGUGGCUAGAGUGCGGGAGAGGAGAGUGGAAUUCCUGGUGUAGCGGUGGAAUGCGCAGAUAUCGGGAGGAACACCGGUGGCGAAGGCGGCUACCUGGACAAUUGCUGACGCUCAGGCACGAAAGCGUGGGGAGCAAAAGGG
rnacentral:rRNA from 1 species